UCGAGAAUAUUUGGCAAUGGGCGAAAGCCUGACCAUGCGACGCCGCGUGCUGGAUGAAGUCCUUCGGGACGUAAACAGCUUUUACGCGUGAAGAAGUAAUUGACAUUAGCGCGAGAAUAAGGGGCUCCUAACUCUGUGCCAGCAGGAGCGGUAAUACAGAGGCCCCGAGCAUUACCCGGAAUCACUGGGCGUAAAGGGUGUGUAGGCGGUCGUAUUAGUCUUUCGUAAAAGCACUGGGGCUUAACCCCGGUAAUGCGGGAGAAACGGUACGGCUACGAGGACGCGAGAGGUAUAGGGAACUCAUGGUGUAGGGGUGAAAUCCGUUGAUAUCAUGGGGAACACCAAAUGCGAAGGCACUAUACUGGCGCACUCCUGACGCUGAAACACGAAAGCGUGGGAAUCGAACGGGAUUAGAUACCCCCGUAGUCC
rnacentral:rRNA from 1 species